GGAGCGAUUACUAUACUAUUACUAUAUUUUAAUACUUCAUUCUUUGAUCCAAUAAGAGGAGGAGAUCCAAUUGUAUAUCAACGUUUAUUUUGAUUUUUUG